GUUAACCUGUGUAAGACAGAAAAGUUAGUCUACUAUAUACACCAGCGAAAUAUAAAGCUGAUCUUCCACCAAAAAUGUUAAGUGUUUGAAAGCUAUGUAUUUUCAAACUCAUUUUCACUGCAUACUACCAAACAGGGGUGAGGAAUCUCAGGCCAGGGGACCAGUUGCAGCCCUCCAGACCUCUCUAAAUGAGCCUCAGACUAAACUCCUCCUUGCACAGCCUUUUCAGUGCCCAUCAAGUACUUUUGCCUGGUUAAGACUAUGCCUGUUCCUUGCCUGAAUGGAGAAUGUAGAGUCUUGUGCGUGUAACCGUCUUCAAAUUUUGACUGGAAUGUGGCCUGCUGUACAAAGGCAAGACUCUCAUCCAUUGCCCAAACUACUUUUGCCUCUGGCUCCACCCAUGAUUGGGAUGCAGACUGCACAAGGCAAUGCUGCUCCUGAACUGGAAAAGGUUCCCCACCCCUGCUAUGGGGAUUUUCCUUUUCCUGAAUACUCUGGCUAUACAAAAAACAGGUGUUUCAACUAAGUUACAAUCCUGAAUAUUUAACCACCUAAAACCCAUCAUCCAUGUAGUUAGUAUUUCUUAAAGCACCAGCAAACCCAAACAAACAGUUAAUUUAAACACAAAGAAAUCCAGAAAGUACCCAAGGGAUUAAAAAAAAGAA